rnacentral:rRNA from 1 species
GUCUACAGCCAUACCACCCUGAAUAUGCCUGAUCUCAUUUGAUCUCAAAAGCUAAGCAGGCUCGGGCCUGGUUAGUACUUGGAUGAGAGAGAUGAUUUAUCCUACUAGGUAUUAAGAAU